UGUGUCAGCAGUUCCUGCAAGACGAAAGCAUUGAUGCUAUAGACUGGCCUGCCUGUUCCCCAGACUUGAAUCCAAUUGAGCACAUCUGGGACAUCAUGUCUCGCUCCAUGCACCAACCCCACGUUGCACCAGACUGUCCAAGAAUUGGGGGAUGCUUUAGUUCAGGUGUGGGAGGAGAUCCCUCAAGAGACCAUCCGCCACCUCAUCAGGAGCAUGCCCAGACUUCUGGAAAGUCUGGUG